UACGGAGGAUCCGAGCGUUAUCCGGAUUUAUUGGGUUUAAAGGGUGCGCAGGCGGGAGAUUAAGUCGGCGGUGAAAUUUUGCAGCUCGACUGUAAAAGUGCCUUCGAAACUGGUUUCCUUGAGUGUAGAUGAAGUAGGCGGAAUUUGUGGUGUAGCGGUGAAAUGCUUAGAUAUCACGAGGAACUCCGAUUGCGCAGGCAGCUUACUAAACUACUACUGACGCUCAGGCACGAAGACGUGGGGAUCAAACAGGAUUAGAUACCCUGGUAGU
rnacentral:rRNA from 1 species